rnacentral:rRNA from 1 species
GAUGAACGCUGGCAGCGUGCUUAACACAUGCAAGUCGAACGGAAAGGCCCAAGCUUGCUUGGGUACUCGAGUGGCGAACGGGUGAGUAACACGUGGGUGAUCUGCCCUGCACUUCGGGAUAAGCCUGGGAAACUGGGUCUAAUACCGGAUAGGACCACAUUUUGGAUGGUGUGGUGGAAAGUUUUUCGGUGUGGGAUGAGCUCGCGGCCUAUCAGCUUGUUGGUGGGGUAAUGGCCUACCAAGGCGUCGACGGGUAGCCGGCCUGAGAGGGUGUACGGCCACAUUGGGACUGAGAUACGGCCCAGACUCCUACGGGAGGCAGCAGUGGGGAAUAUUGCACAAUGGGCGCAAGCCUGAUGCAGCGACGCCGCGUGGGGGAUGACGGCCUUCGGGUUGUAAACUCCUUUCGCUAGGGACGAAGCGUUAUGUGACGGUACCUGGAGAAGAAGCACCGGCUAACUACGUG